AAAAGAAAAAGAAAAGGAAAAAGAAAAAGAAAAAAGAAUUUCCUCUUCCACCUCUUCUCUUCCCCCAUCUUCUACCCCUUCGUCUUCUCUUCCCUCUCCUUCC
rnacentral:ribozyme from 1 species